GACGAACGCUGGCGGCGUGCCUAAUACAUGCAAGUAGGACGCAGUUGCGAACGGGUGAGUAACGCGUAGGUAACUGGCUAUUAGAGGGGGAUAACUAUUGGAAACGAUAGCUAAUACCGCAUACUAGUAGAUGGACCUGCGUUGUAUUAGCUAGUAGGUAGGGUAACGGCCUACCAAGACGACGAUCAGGAACCGGCCUGAGAUGGGGAACGGUCACAAUGGAACUGAGACACGGCCCAGACUCCUACGGGAGGCAGCAGUAGGGAAGCUUCGGCAAUGGGGGGAACCCUGACCGAGCAACGCCGCGUGAUUGAAGAAGGUUUUCGGAUCGGAAAGCUCUGUUGUUAAGGAAGCGGUACUUAACCAGAAAGGGACGGCUAACUACGUGCCAGCAGCCGCGGUAAUUC
rnacentral:rRNA from 1 species